rnacentral:rRNA from 1 species
CGUGUAGGCGGCCUCUUAAGUCUGAUGUGAAAGCCCGGGGCUUACCCCCGGAAGUGCAUUGGAGACUGGGAGGCUCGAGUACCGGAGAGGAGGGUGGGAUUCCUGGUGUAGCGGUGAAAUGCGUAGAUAUCAGGAGGAACACCGGUGGCGAAGGCGGCCCUCUGGACGGAUACUGACGCUGAGACGCGAAAGCGUGGGGAGCAAACAGGAUUAGAUACCCUGGUAGUCCACGCUGUAAACGAUGGGCACUAGGUGUUCGGGGUAUUGACCCCCUGAGUGCCGCAGCUAACGCAUUAAGUGCCCCGCCUGGGGACUACGGCCGCAAGGUUAAA